GUCGGCUGAUCGGCGCACCGAGGUCCCGGAUCCUGAACAGCCCCCCCAGCCCCCCUGGACACCGGGGUGUUCGGUCGGCCGACGCUAUCCAAGCGAAUAUCCCCGAAGCCCGUGCGGUCCCCCCCUCCUGCCGCGCGGGCU
rnacentral:sRNA from 1 species